AGAAAAUAGAUACCCGGGUAGUCCACGCCCUAAACGAUGCAUAUUUGGUGUGGGCAGUUCAUUCUGUCCGUGCCGGAGCUAAACGCGUUAAAUAUGCCGCCUGGGGAGUACAGUCGCAAGGCUGAAACUCAAAGGAAUUGACGGGGGCCCGCACAAGCGGUGGAGCAUGUGGUUCAAUUCGACGCAACGCGAAGAACCUUACCUGGGCUCGAACGGCUGAUCAACGGAGGUGGAAACAUCUUUACCCCGCAAGGGGGUUCAGUCGAGGUGCUGCAUGGCUGUCGUCAGCUCGUGUCGUGAGAUGUUGGGUUAAGUCCCGCAACGAGCGCAACCCUUGUCCUGUGUUGCCAUCAUUCAGUUGGGAACUCGCAGGAGACCGCCAGGGAUAACCUGGAGGAAGGUGGGGAUGACGUCAAGUCCUCAUGGCCUUUAUGUCCAGGGCUACACACGUGCUACAAUGGACGGUACAAAGCGCAGCAAACCCGCGAGGGGAGCCAAUCGCAAAAAACCGUUCUCAGUUCGGAUUGCAGGCUGC
rnacentral:rRNA from 1 species